AGACACCAUUGCCAGGAACCAUGCCACACCAUACCAGUCAGUGAGCCAGGCUGGUUCUUCUUAUCGCAAAAGAUCAAAUGGCCAGGAACAUGAGUCAUCUGCAGAUUCCUGCUAAUGAGCAGAGCCCCGCAAGAGGGUUGACAAGACUGAAGCCCAGAGUUCUUUGUCCAUGAAUGUUGGACAAGAAUGAGCAGCCCCUGCUUCUCUUAACUUCGAAUCUGCUUUAGCAGAAAGAGCCUAAUGGAAAAGCAUGCCCUGCACUUCUGUUUUCCGUGAGGAGCCAGAAGUCAUCAGCAAAGCUGCAGCCCAAGAUGAGAGAAGCCAUUCGCCUCCUGGGGCCUCCAUGGAGGGAAUGCCUUUGAGAUGACAAGAGCUGGGGUGUAGGAGGAAGGUCAUUUUUGGUGGCCAAGAGAACCGCCUGUGCUGGUGGAAAAGCGCUGGACCUGCUGCCCAGCACCACAGCCGACAGCAGCAAAUGGCCACUGAACACUUCAAAAUGUGGGGACUCUCGCCCAUUUCCCACAGACCUAUAUACCCUGCCUGCAAACCUGACUGAAAGGCCCACACACCACACCAGAGAGAUGUGGAGGGAUGGAGCAUUCGUCAUAGACAGCAUUGGAGCCCCCAUCCCGGAACCCUGAGCAUGCCUGCAGGUUAUCAGUGGAUGCCUCACCUUAGAAAAGUCCCGUAAAACUGAGGAAGAUUGUGGGAGAUAUCCUUGGGGGUCAUCUAGACCAGCACUCCAGCCUGCCCCAAAUCUACAGAUGAAAAAAGCAAAGUCCAGAGAAGUAACGUCUCAAGGUCACACAAGUCAGUCCCUAUCAACGUCAGCACUAAAAUCAAGGCCUCCUAAAACCAGUCGGAUCAUUGUUCCAUUACAGCAUAUGGUAAUUCUUGUUAGAUGGAAAACAGAAAUAUUUAGAAGGUCCUAGGAGGGUCUUAUUUCUUGAAUGGAAAGUGAAGACUUGACAUUCUUUAAGACUGCUGGUCAACUCCAGACAAGCUGUAUUAAAUAAUGAAGUGGGAACAGAGACUGUGAAAAAUCUAAGGGGAGGAAAAAAAAGAAUCUUUAAAAAAACGCUAUAGAUUUCAAAGCACUUAGAAUUACUAUUUUCCUUUCAUAUCUUUGGCUCCUUCUUCUAUUCUGGGUCCUAGUCAAAUGUUAGUUUUACUGGAGUGUUCUAUCGAGGCCAAAUUAACACCCAAACUGGAAUUAAUACUCAUCUUUGUUCUGCAAAUUCAGACUCCCAGACAUCACAGAGGUGCUGAACACAUUUUAACACUCAGGGACAUUUACACCAGAGAAAUACAUCAAUUUACAAAAAAGUAUGCGCCUCAAAACCCAACUCAUACUGGCGGCCAGAAAGCAGUUUCCCUCCACCCGCGUCCUCUUCCUCCACUCCCUCCAUCCUGUUGGACCUCCCGUGCACUGGACUACCUGGCCCACUCUGGGACUGUUGCAGCACGAGCAACUUUAGUGCCAUGCUCUUAAUUCCUCAAACACCAUUACCUCUCUUUAUGCUUAGCCCCAAGGUGGGAAGAAGGAAAUAAAUCUUGUUCCUUGUGGGAUGUCACAUCCUUGGGCAUUCUGGGGCCUUCCAUGCCAGGCCUCCAAGCCCUGGUGCGCCAAGGCUCAACAUGGCUGAAUACAGGGUUCCAUUUCAUCUUGGCGGAGACACGGACUUUCCACACACAAAUUAACAUUGUUUCAUCUCAUUUUGACACCAUAAUGUCUUUUCCAUACACCUGCUCUGACGUUUUCAUGAAAUCAAUGCAUCCCAAUCAACUGAGUAGGGAAUUAGCAUUGUUACACCAAACAUUCUGAAAAGUGUGGGUUAUUUUUCAUAUCUAAAUAUCUCAUCCCCAUAUGCUGCUUUGGAAAGAUAAAUUCAAGAUCUAACAUACCGCAAAUUUAAAAUUCUAAAAUAUGCAUAUUUGAUUUUACAAUCCCCUUAUUGGCAACAUGUGCCAUGCAAAGCUGUAUUCAUGCUUGGGUAAAUGGGUAACUUUUAAAAUAAAUCAAAUCUAGGAUUU